GUAAUCACUUGUCUUCUAAAUAAAGACCUGUAUGAACGGCUAAAUGAGGACAAACCUGUCUCUUAUAACCAAUCAGUGAAAUUGAUCUACCAGUACAAAAGCUGGUAUAAUAACAUAAGACGAGAAGACCCUGUGGAGCUUAAGACAAGAUACUACACACCCGACCAUAGUUUAUGAGUCUUCAGUUGGGGCGACUUCGGAAUAAAACAAAACUUCCGAGCAGAGAUCCACACCCUCUUACCAAGGCAAACAAGCCGAAAGAAGAACUGACCCGGCCCUGCCGAUCAGCGAACCAAGUUACCCCAGGGAUAACAGCGCUAUCUUCUUUGAGAGUCCCUAUCGACAAGAAGGUUUACGACCUCGAUGUUGGAUCAGGACACCCAGGUGGUGCAGCCGCUACCAAAGGUUCGUUUGUUCAACGAUUAACAGU
rnacentral:rRNA from 1 species